GACGAACGCUGGCGGCGUGCCUAACACAUGCAAGUCAGGGAGAAAGAGGUAGCAAUAUCUCGAGUAAACCGGCGAACGGGUGAGUAACACGUAGGUAACCUGCCCUCGAGUUGGGAAUAACUUCGAGAAAUCGAGGCUAAUACCGGAUAAUGCAACGAACCCGCAUGGGUUUGUUGUUAAAGUUCCGCGCAAGCGGAACGCUUGAGGAAGGACCUGCGGCCGAUUAGCUAGUUGGCGGAGUAACAGCCCACCAAGGCGACGAUCGGUAGCCGACCUGAGAGGGUGACCGGCCACACUGGGACUGAGAUACGGCCCAGACUCCUACGGGAGGCAGCAGUGAGGAAUAUUGGUCAAUGGCCGAAAGGCUGAACCAGCAACGCCGCGUGAGGGAUGAAGAUCUAAGGAU
rnacentral:rRNA from 1 species